rnacentral:rRNA from 1 species
UGCCUGGCGGCAAUAGCGCGGUGGUCCCACCUGACCCCAUGCCGAACUCAGAAGUGAAACGCCGUAGCGCCGAUGGUAGUUUGGGGUCUCCCCAUGCGAGAGUAGGACACUGCCAGGCAU